CCGCCUCCCCUCUGCCGCCGCGGGGCCGGGGCUGCUGCCCGCCGGGCAGUCACCCCGGGCAGACCGCUCCUCACGGAGGUUCCGCCAGGUUUUAUUUAGUGGGGGUUAUCCAGCGGGUCUGGAAUAAAUACGUAACGUGUGACAGGUCUGAACAAAAUUCUUUCCUGUGCGUGAGUGGUUGAUGUUAUUCCGUAACUAUUUCGACAGGAUAAUUCCAUAACUAUUUGUGCAAGAGACUGGAAGAGAUAAGGGCUGCAGAAGUUAAACAGGCUAUUUCCUGUCGAUAUUAGACAGGACUUUUCCUGUUUGUAAAUGAGCACAGUCAAAGAUUGGCUUCUGGUGUCUAUAUUGCAGAAGCAGAUGUUCAAGAAAUUACUCAGAUGCUUAAAAUGGUGUAUAACUGGAAUCACCUGGAAAAAAUGAACAACACUUGGAAAAUCUACUUGAUAGAGAGCUGGAGAGGCAUCCUGAAGUGAUAUGGGUUUGAAGGUGCAGAACGGACAGGAAAAUCCAAUGGAUAUUCAUGUGGACUCUGUAAAGAUCAGAAUGCAAAGGCAAAGAAGAACCAACACAAUUGCAUCGGUAGCAAGGGGAGAGGAUGGGGAGAAUGUGUCACUGCUGUUUUUCUGGCAUGAACUGCCAUUCCCUUUGGUGGCUCCUGGAGUCUCCCUGGGCGGCAGCGGUCCCUCCGGCGGGGAUUGCUGCCAGAGCUGGCUCUCUCAGCUGCCACAUUUCCUACAGCUGUGCCAUUGUGCGUGGACAUCAAUAAACCCAAACAUCUUGUUGGAAACGCAAAACCUGUGA
rnacentral:lncRNA from 1 species